UCAUGGCUCAGAUUGAACGCUGGCGGCAGGCUUAACACAUGCAAGUCGAGCGGAAACGAUGGGAGCUUGCUCCCAGGCGUCGAGCGGCGGACGGGUGAGUAACACUUAGGAAUCUACCUAGUAGUGGGGGAUAGCUCGGGGAAACUCGAAUUAAUACCGCAUACGACCUACGGGAGAAAGGGGGCAGUUUACUGCUCUCGCUAUUAGAUGAGCCUAAGUCGGAUUAGCUAGAUGGUGGGGUAAAGGCCUACCAUGGCGACGAUCUGUAGCUGGUCUGAGAGGAUGAUCAGCCACACCGGGACUGAGACACGGCCCGGACUCCUACGGGAGGCAGCAGUGGGGAAUAUUGGACAAUGGGGGGAACCCUGAUCCAGCCAUGCCGCGUGUGUGAAGAAGGCCUUUUGGUUGUAAAGCACUUUAAGCAGUGAAGAAGACCUAACGGUUAAUACCCGUUAGCGAUGACAUUAGCUGCAGAAUAAGCACCGGCUAACUCUGUGCCAGCAGCCGCGGUAAUACAGAGGGUGCAAGCGUUAAUCGGAAUUACUGGGCGUAAAGCGAGCGUAGGUGGCUUGAUAAGUCAGAUGUGAAAUCCCCGGGCUUAACCUGGGAACUGCAUCUGAUACUGUUAAGCUAGAGUAGGUGAGAGGGAAGUAGAAUUCCAGGUGUAGCGGUGAAAUGCGUAGAGAUCUGGAGGAAUACCGAUGGCGAAGGCAGCUUCCUGGCAUCAUACUGACACUGAGGCUCGAAAGCGUGGGUAGCAAACAGGAUUAGAUACCCUGGUAGUCCACGCCGUAAACGAUGUCUACUAGUCGUUGGGUCCCUUGAGGACUUAGUGACGCAGCUAACGCAAUAAGUAGACCGCCU
rnacentral:rRNA from 1 species